GUAGCCAGCUCAGUGGUAGAGCGUGUGCUUAGCAUGCAUGAGGUCCUGGGUUCAAUCCCCAGUGCCUCCA
rnacentral:tRNA from 1 species